CAAACACAUGCAAGACGAACGGACUUACAUUGAAGCCUAGCGAUAUGUAAGUUAGUGGCGGACGGGUGAGUAACGCGUGGGUAACCUGCCUUGUACUGGGGGACAACAGUUGGAAACGACUGCUAAUACCGCAUAAGCGCACAGCUUCGCAUGAAGCAGUGUGAAAAACUCCGGUGGUACAAGAUGGACCCGCGUCUGAUUAGCUGGUUGGUGAGGUAACGGCCCACCAAGGCGACGAUCAGUAGCCGGCCUGAGAGGGUGAACGGCCACAUUGGGACUGAGACACGGCCCAAACUCCUACGGGAGGCAGCAGUGGGGAAUAUUGCACAAUGGGGGAAACCCUGAUGCAGCAACGCCGCGUGAGUGAAGAAGUAUUUCGGUAUGUAAAGCUCUAUCAGCAGGAAAGAAAAUGACGGUACCUGACUAAGAAGCCCCGGCUAACUACGUGCCAGCAGCCGCGGUAAUACGUAGGGGGCAAGCGUUAUCCGGAUUUACUGGGUGUAAAGGGAGCGUAGACGGUGUGGCAAGUCUGAUGUGAAAGGCAUGGGCUCAACCUGUGGACUGCAUUGGAAACUGUCAUACUUGAGUGCCGGAGGGGUAAGCGGAAUUCCUAGUGUAGCGGUGAAAUGCGUAGAUAUUAGGAGGAACACCAGUGGCGAAGGCGGCUUACUGGACGGUAACUGACGUUGAGGCUCGAAAGCGUGGGGAGCAAACAGGAUUAGAUACCCUGGUAGUCCACGCCGUAAACG
rnacentral:rRNA from 1 species